AGGCUGUGAUGACAGACAACAUUUCUCGAUUCUGAUCAGUGACCAGGACCAAAGCAAACGUGUUUGCUCUUUGAUGACAGUCUUUGUGCGUGUCUGAGCCUA